rnacentral:lncRNA from 1 species
GCGAUGAAAAGGUUCAAGUUUGGGGUUGUACGGGGGGAAAUUGAAAAAGCAAGUAAAAGACAUUGAGCUCAAUUGUUGUGAAAAGAGAAAAAUUCAUGAGAAAAAGAAAAGAAAAGAAGAAAAGCAUGAAGAUGAGCUCAAUGAAAAAGAAAAGAAAAAGGAAGAAGUUGGGAAUGAGAGAUAUUGGUGAGAGAGUUGUGCUUAAAUGUUGAAUAUUUUGUUAGCUCUCUUGACUCAAGGAUUUUGCAUACUAGAAAAACCAAUUCUUUCUUGUUAGCCCAACCUCAUUCCAAGCCUUGGAAAAG